GGCGCCACUUCUGGGUCCGGAAAAGAAUGAGAAACGGGCCAGCGCGGUCGCCUGUGUAACUCAGGACGCGGCUGCGCUGGGCGCCCGAGCGCGUUUUCAAGUCUGCGCCCCAGAGUUCACUGCGAGGACUGGGAUCACCCAUCACCCCGCCCUGGUCUACGGAAAAUGACAAGUGUUUACUGAUAUAGAAACGGAAUAACGGCGCUGUGGGCUGGGGAUGGGGGAGCUGCCUUCAGGCUUCUGGUCUCCAGCUGCGGGGCGCUCACACCUGCCGCGGUGAAAAUGCAGACCCGCGGGGCAGGAAUUCCGAGUCCAGGCUGGAGCGCGAUCUGGAAUCUGACUCGCUUGAAACAGCACCGCGGUGGAUUCGGAGCCGGGUGAGUAGGGAAAUGCGCCUCAGCCCCUCCCACAGGCCGCCCACGGAUUCCAGGAUCCGAAAACGCUUCCAGCUGCUGCGUCACCACAGGAAGGCAGCGACCGUCUCUGGGCGGUUCUGAUGGAAACGGGCUCCGCCGCCCGAAGGAAAACCCACAACUAAGGGGCCAGGAAAAAGCCUCUCAGGGUCCCCCCCCUUCAGUGAGGAUCCAAAUUUACACCCCGAGUGUGGCCCCAACAGAGACUGGAGCUAAGGUUCCUGAAAUGAUACAAGACCAGCGGGGCACAGGGCGCUGCCGCUCACAGAAUCCGGUGACAGCUCCGCCUCGCGUCCCUUCCUUGACCUACCCCAGGCGGAAGCAGUGACGUGUGUUGGCCUGGAGGCUGGAAUACAUGGGGAUCAAAAGCAAAGAGUGGAGAAAGGAGAGAAGGAUGCGGGGACGUUUCGAAGAAAGGAAGAGAGAGGGAGAAAAGCGGAGAGAAAAGGUGAAGAAUAUCCACUACCAAGGAUGAUCCACGCCGUUAUGAGAUGAAUUGUGUCCCUCCCCAACCGAAAUUCAUAUGUUGAAGUCCUAUGUUGAGAAGACAGAAGUGGCCAUCUACAAGCCAAGGAGAGAGGCCUCAGAAAAAAGCAACCCCGUAGCACCUUGACAUGCACCUGUAGCCUCCAGAACUGUGAGACAAUACAUAUUUAUUAUUUUACUCACCCAGCCUGUGGUACUUAGUUAUGGCAGCCCUAGCAAAUUAAAACAGAAAUAUUACCUUUUCUACCCUGUCCUAUGUAUCAACAUGUGAUUUUUUUUGUUGUUUGUUUUGUUUUGUUUUGUUUUCAGAUGGAGUCUCACUCUGUCACCCAGGCUGGAGUGCAGUGGCACAAUCUCAGCUCACUGCAAGCUCUGCCUCCCGGGUUCACGCCAUUCUCCUGCCUCAGCUUCCCGAGAAGUUGGGACUACAGGCACCUGCCACCACACCUGGCUAAUUUUGUAUUUUUAGUAGAGACGGUGUUUCACCGUGUUAGCCAGGAUGGUCUCGAUCUCCUGACGUCGUGAUCCACCCGCCUUGGCCUCCCAAAGUGCUGGGAUUACAGGCGUGAGCCACCGCACCCGGCCAACAUGUGAUUUUUUUAAGAAUAUGAAUUGCCUGGGAUUCCAAAACACAGAGUAAGUCAAUGGAAAAUGGAUGAUAUAGGGUCAUUUCCAAGCCUUUGUGGGUUUCUUGGCCACCACACAAACAUGGAUGUGUCCCCAUUUCUUUUCAGUUUCACACACAGCAAAAGUUGUGGACAUAGAAUCACAAACUGUGUUUAAUUUAUUUGAGAUACUGAGUGAGCUAGUUUUGCCCUAAUUUUAUAGAAAGAUGAUGAACAAUCAUAAUUGCUAGACCAAAGAGGCUUUUUGGCAGGGGAUUGCAAGUAUACUAUGUUUUCUCCUACUUUUAAGGUACUUUUCCUAAAGAGUCUUGUCUAGGAGUAAAUGUCAUCACUUUGCUUUUUUCUUCUGCAUUGAUCACUUGGUCCUCCCUGCAUUUCAGUAAGGUUGCUAGAAUGGAGGCAUUUGUCCAUGAUUCACAGAUGAAUCAGAGGCCCUAUGAGUAGAGAGUUUCUCCUGAAGUCACACAGCAUGUGAGUGGUGGAGCAAUGACAGGCAAAUGACUCUCCAGGUCCCUAGUCCAGUUUUCUGGGUGCCAUGAGAAUUACAGCCUUUGGUUUCUCUUACAAUGUGGUUCAUUUCUGAACCUGAGAAGGAGAAUGCACCUCAGGUGACAUUUUUUGUUGUUCUGCACUUGUCUGAGAAUGACCCCAAAAGAUUUUUAAAGACCAAUUCUUUGGCUACCAACCCUAUUUGGCCAAGUCAUGGACAUGGAGCAGGUGAAAACUGCCUUUAUCUAUUACAUGCCUGAAGAUUCUGAGACCUACGUGUAUCAGGUAAGCUCCACAUGCAGAGGGACACCCACUCUCCCACCUGCUUAUUUUCUGUAUCUUUUCACACUUCACAUCCUCAUCCCUCCCUCUGGCUGUCUUCCCUCUUUGGGAUCUUCUAGUCCUACCCUCUGUCUCCUUCCAGGUGACUAGAGCAGACUGGUUUGGAACAGGGCUUGGCCAUCACGCUUGUGUCGGAUGUGAAUGAUGCCAGGAUCCUCAGUGAUGGGCAGCAUCGCUUUAAGUUCAGUGUUAGUGAGCUGACUGAUGAGACAGACGUCUCCUCCACAUUGAACAGAUGCAGUAGGAGACUCACUCAUUCUGGAAUGUGGCCAUCUGCCCUUCAGGAGAGGACAGCAGGGUGGGGGUGAAGGAGACCCUGCUGCCCCCACCCCUGACAGCCACCACCACCACCCCCUGGCUUUCCUCUUCUGCAUCAGCACCACUCCUGAACCCCCAUUCCUGAUUGUCAGAAUUUUUAACGUAACUAAAAAUGAAACACAAAUGCAUCUGCA